CGCCCGCGGGCGCUGACCGAGCGGGGCCGGGGACGCGCCUCCGCCCGCUGCCUGGAAGCCGCUCGGCGCGGGGCCAACAACCAGAACGACGCCCCGCCCGCCCUGCGGACUCGCCCGGAGCCUCAGGGCGAAGCCCCAGCCCGGGGCGGUGGACCAGGAGGAAUCCGAGGCUCCUCUGGGGAUAACGUGCGCAGGAGUGAGUGAAGAAGCCAGGACUGGACUGCGGUGUCUGCUUCUCCCUGGAGUCCGGAUCG
rnacentral:lncRNA from 1 species